rnacentral:misc_RNA from 1 species
AACGCACCUUGCGCCCCUUGGUUAUUCCUUGGGGCAUGCCUGUUUGAGUAUCAUGAACACCUCAACUCUCACGGUCUUCCGUGACGAGCUUGGACUUUGGAGGUUUGCUGGCCCUGCGGCCGGCUCCUCUCAAACAAAUCAGCUCGCCAGUGUUUGGCGGCAUCUCACGGGUGUGAUAACUAUCUACGCUCGCGGUUGUCUGCCAGGUAACCCUCAGCGAUGAAGGUUCAUUGGGGCUCAUAAACGUCUCUCCUCGGCGAGGACAGCUUUUGAACGUUCGAUCUCAAAUCAGGUAGGACUACCCGCUGAACUUAA